rnacentral:rRNA from 1 species
UCGAACGGCAGCACAGGGGAGCUUGCUCCUUGGGUGGCGAGUGGCGGACGGGUGAGGAAUACAUCGGAAUCUACUUUUUCGUGGGGGAUAACGUAGGGAAACUUACGCUAAUACCGCAUACGACCUACGGGUGAAAGCAGGGGACCUUCGGGCCUUGCGCGAUUGAAUGAGCCGAUGUCGGAUUAGCUAGUUGGCGGGGUAAAGGCCCACCAAGGCGACCAUCCGUAGCUGGUCUGACAGGAUGAUCAGCCACACGGGAACUGAGACACGGUCCAAACUCCUACGGGAGGCAGCAGUGGGGAAUAUUGGACAAUGGGCGCGGCCUGAUCCAGCCAUACCGCGUGGGUGAAAAAGGCCUUCCGGUUGUAAAGCCCUUUUGUUGGGAAAGAAAUCCAGCUGGCUAAUACCCGGUUGGGAUGACGGUACCCAAAGAAUAAACACCGGCGAACUUCGUGCCACCAGCCGCGAUAAUACGAAGGGUGCAAACGUUACUCGGAAUUACUGGGCGUAAAGCGUGCAUAGGUGGUCUUUUAAGUCCGUUGUAAAAGCCCUGGGCUCAACCUGGGAACUGCAGUGGAUACUGUGCUACUAGGAGUGUGGUAGAGGGUAGCGGAAUUCCUGGGUGUAGCACUGAAAUGCAUGAGAAUCAGGAUGAACAUCCAUGGCGAAUGCAUCUACCUGGACCCAACACUGACACUGAAGCACGGAAACGUGUGGGGCAAAACAGGAUUAAAUACCCUGGUAGUCCACGCCCUAAACUAUGCCAACUG